UCAUCAGGUAGGAUCAUCCUUACCUGUUCCUCUAUUGAGAGGUCAGAGAGAACACGGUGAUUAGAGUUCCCAUGAUUUUUGAUUAACAUCUCUUCAUAAUUGUUCUCGUCCGGGAUCUGGAUUUUAUAGUCUCUGAG